rnacentral:rRNA from 1 species
UACGGAGGGGGCUAGCGUUGUUCGGAAUUACUGGGCGUAAAGCGCGCGUAGGCGGACCUGCAAGUCGGGGGUGAAAUCUCGGAGCUUAACUCCGAAACUGCAUUCGAUACUGGCGUGCUUGAGGACUGGAGAGGAGACUGGAAUUCAUGGUGUAGCAGUGAAAUGCGUAGAGAUCAUGAGGAAGACCAGUGGCGAAGGCGGGUCUCUGGACAGUUCCUGACACUGAGACACGAAGGCCAGGGGAGCAAACGGG